GGGAUGCGGCGCUGGCGGGGCGCGGGGCUGGCGGCGCUGGCCGCGGUGCUGCUCGUGGCUGCGGGCAGAGCCCAGGUGCAGCAGGAGCCGUUGGCACAAACCCCCGAGGGCACGGAAAUCACCAUCAACUGCUCACACCCGACCAUACGGACCAAUGACUAUAUCCACUGGUACCGUCAGCUCCCGGGCCGCGGCCCCGAAUUCCUCGUGAGCAUUCACAAAGGCUCCAGAGAUCUGCCGGACAAGGCGGGCCAGGUGUCGGUGUCGCCAGACCGUCGCUGGAGCACCCUCUGUCUCUCCGGGCCCCGUGUUGGGGACGCGGCGGUGUAUUACUGUGCCCUGGCAGACACGGCCAGAGGAGCCGGGGCUGCGGCCGGGCACGAACCGCCGCGGGCGGGGCCGGGCGGGGCCGGGGGCACAGCGCCGGCCGGGGCCAGCAGGGGCCGCUCCUGCACCUCCAGAUUUCUUUCUCAAACCAUGUCCCGCCUUCCUGGGCCCCCUUGUUUCAAAGGGCUGCUUUCCAAGGGCCUUUCCGAAUCGGUGUCCUCAACAGUCCCAAGUCCAACCUCCAGCAGUCGAGGGUACAGGUUUGAUUGAUGCUCCCCCUUAUUUCCCCAAGUAUGGAAAACUCUAUCAUUUCAUGGUUGCUGUGCUCCAGAUGGCCUUUGAUCAGCACAUCUCUCACCAACCCUCCUCUGUUUGCAAACAGCAGGUCUGGGUGCUGUAUAAACUGCCUGACAAUCAAAAAAAUUAAAAUUCCACCGAUGGCA